ACUUGGGCCACGGGCCCAUUGCUUGUUGGGUGAACGAAAUCCAAACCCCAAGUCUGACCCACCAACGAACCCUGAAGCUACAAAAACGAUCGCAGAUUCCUCCCGAAGCUAGACGGAAUUUCACGGCCGCGGGGAGAGAACGGAAACGGGUUCUCCUGGUCGUCAUCGAGAGAGGCGUUCUCGUCUUCUCCUAAAUCCCUGCAUCAACUCAACACUUUAGAUGUCUUUUCUCCUUUGUCGAGAAUUCACACGACUCCAUGAAGCAAGUUGAACUCCGAAUCCAAGACGUUCGUCGAAUUGAAUCCGAAUUAUUGGAUUCAGUACUCGUCUUCUCCAAAUCGAAAAUGGAGAGUUCACCGAUACUUAGUUUUAUGCUAAAUCGAGGAGGAACGCGGGCGUAUUUAUCAGAUUCAUAUUGCUUAAAGAAGCAAGAGGUGGAGGGAUAACUUACCGGUUCGAAGUAGAGGAAUCUUCCGAUGCGGCGGCUCGACGGUAACGGUCUCACAGUGCAGAGUUCGUCUGCGAUUCAAGGGAAGGAAGAAGAAGACGUCGGGAAGCUGCUUGUGCCGUGGUGGUUAUUCGGAAUGAGGAAGAAGGUGAAGUGAUAAUGAUGAAGACUCAUGUAACUGUGAGAGUUGCAGUGUCGAUUCUGUAGAAAAAUGAAAGAUCCUUCCAAGUAGAUCACAAUACCAGCUUAUAUACAUUUUCAAUCUGUUAGAUCGAUUAGCUUCCGUUAAAAAAUCUUGGUGUAAAUCUGUUAGGAGUUAUAAUGCUGUUAGUUGGAGUUUGUUAGAUUGGUUAGUUGAAGUUUUUUUAGAUUGGAUUGGUUUUGUUUAUUAUUAUGGAUUGGAAUUUCCGUUGCGGUUUUGAAGUUCUGUUGCAGGUAGUUGGAAAUUGGUUUGCUGUUGUUGGUUCAUGCAUUUCGCGUUUGGAGCUUGCAUCGUCGUCGUUUUGAUACUGCACCCGUCACCUGCGUUUUGGCUUACAGCAGCUUGUCGUUUCAUUACCUGCGUUUUGAUCUCGUUUCAUUACGUCAUGUUGCAGCAAGCGUUUGUUCUUCAGUUGCCUUGUUCUGGUAUUACUUGGUGAUGGACAUGGGCUUGAGCCUAGAAUGGUGACCCAAUGUACUUCUAUUUUAUUUUGAUGUAAUAGUGGACCUUUAUUGGUUUUGGAUUUAAA